rnacentral:lncRNA from 1 species
ACUGCCAUAAUAUUCAUUAGAAAAGAAAAUGGAGCAUCCAUUUUCCAUUAGCCUUAUUUCAUAAUCUUAUUUUUACAACAAAGGUGUAGAAAUAAUAUUUCUAAUGAUCUUUGGUAUGUAAUAACGGUCUGUUAUUUCUAAAGUUUUGUUCGAAGGUAAAUCAAGCAUACAGAUUUCCACAGCCCCUGCGCUAAUGGAGUCUCCACU